ensembl:miRNA Gm44326 predicted gene, 44326
UUUUAAAACACGGAUUUCUUCACUUCUCAGCCUUUUGGCUAAGAUCAAGAGUAAAACACGGAUUUCUGAGGGAAGCUUAAAUGUGAAGAACUCAUUGAGUG